CUUAAUUGUACAUUGACCAGAAAAACCUAGUUUUUCCCCUUUUUUGGCCCUUUUGCCCCUAAUUCUAAACAAUGUUGAGCGAUAACCCCCAAAGUAAAUACUUACCAUCCCUUCAUGAUAUGGAAACUUAUGGUAUAAUUUCAAAGAGAUUCAUACACUUAAACACAAGUUAUUGUUUGAAAACUACAAAUAUGCUUAUAUUGGGGCCCCUUUUAGGCCCACUUAUUCCUAAACUAUUGGGACCAUAACCCCCAAAAUCAAUCCCAACCUUCCUUU
rnacentral:lncRNA from 1 species